rnacentral:misc_RNA from 1 species
ACUCCGUAGGUGAACCUGCGGAGGGAUCAUUACAGAGUUCUCGCCCUCGCGGGUAGAUCUCCCACCCACUGUUAUCGUUACUGUGUUGCUUUGGCGGGCCGCCGGGCCCCGCUCGGCCGCCGGCUCCGGCUGGCGCGCGCCCGCCAGAGGCCCAGCAAACUCUGAAUGUUAGUGUCGACUGAGUACUAUAUAAUAGUUAAAACUUUCAACAACGGAUCUCUUGGUUCUG